rnacentral:rRNA from 1 species
CAACGCCUGCCCAGUGAACAAUUAAACGGCCGCGGUAUCCUAACCGUGCAAAGGUAGCAUAAUCAUUUGUCUAUUAAUUGUAGACCCGUAUGAAAGGCAAAAUGAGAGCCUGACUGUCUCUUAUAACAAAUCAAUUAAACUGAUCUCCCAGUACAAAAGCUGGGAUACCCACAUAAGACCAGAAGACCCUGUGAAGCUUUAACUAACCUAUUAAACCACAUAAUAACUAGUUUCGGUUGGGGCGACCUUGGAAUAAAAAAGAACUUCCAAAAAACAUGACCUUACUCAUAUAAAAGGCAAACAGGCCACAAUUAGACCCAGAACUUCUGAUAUAUGAACCAAGUUACUCCAGGGAUAACAGCGCUAUCUUCUUUAAGAGCCCAUAUCAAAAAGAAGGUUUACGACCUCGAUGUUGGAUCAGGACAUCCUAGCAAUGCAACAGUUACUAAGGGUUCGUUUGUUCAACGAUUAAUAGUCCUACGUGAUCUGAG